UGAGGAAUAUUGGUCAAUGGGGCGGGGAGGCCUGAACCAGCCAAGUCGCGUGAGGGAAGACGGUCCUAUGGAUUGUAAACCUCUUUUGUUCGGGGAGGCAAAGAAGGCCACGUGUGGUCAAAAGCGAGAGUACCCGAAGAAAAAGACAUCGGCUAACUCCGUGCC
rnacentral:rRNA from 1 species